rnacentral:rRNA from 1 species
AAUGAACGCUGGCGGCAGGCCUAACACAUGCAAGUCGAGCGAGCGGCGGACGGGUGAGUAAUGUCUGGGAAACUGCCUGAUGGAGGGGGAUAACUACUGGAAACGGUAGCUAAUACCGCAUACCAUCAGAUGUGCGCAGAUGGGGUUAGCUAGUAGGUGGGGUAACGGCUCACCUAGGCGACGAUCCCUAGCUGGUCUGAGAGGGUGACCAGCCACACUGGAACUGAGACACGGUCCAGACGCCUACGGGAGGCAGCAGUGGGGAAUAUUGCACAAUGGCCGCAAGCCUGAUCCAGCAAUGCCGCGUGUGUGAAGAAGGCCUUCGGGUUGUAAAGCACUUUCGGCGGGGAAGCGUUACCCGCAGAAGAAGCACCGGCUAACUCCGUGCCAGCCGCCGCGGUAAUAC